rnacentral:lncRNA from 10 species
GGCUUCAGAAGCUCUGCUAUCCACAGGCAGGUGAGAUAUUACCUUCCCUACCACCUGGCAGUCAUAGUCUAUGAUGCAACUCAGCUUUGUGGAAGUGCUUCUCUAAAGAACUUCCCCCAAUUUAAGAUGAUCUUAAUUUGCUUACUUGUUUACUGUCCAUUCAGCUGCUCUAAAAUGUGAGCUCCAAAUCAGGGACCAUGUCUGGUUGGUUACCCAUUUCCUGGGACCUAGAACGGGCCUAGCUCAGAGCAGGUGCUCACUAUUGAUGGAAUGCAUGUUGAAAGAAUGCAUGAAUCUCAUCUCCUUUUGUGGGUGAAAAUCUCAUCCUAUUCUCACUCCUGAUUAACUUUCUUUCUUUUUUUUUUUUCAAAACGGAGCCCUGAUCUGUCACCCAGGCUGGAGUGCAAUGGUGCCAUCUCAGCUCGCUGCAACCUCUGCCUUCUGGAUUAAAGCAAUUCUCCUGCCUCAGCCUCCCGGGUAGCUGGGAUUACAGGUAGAAGUUGCUGGUCCCAUCUUGCUCACAAUCCUCCAAAGUUUGAAAGUUAUUUUCCAGGAGACUUGGCUUGCACUGAGAGCUGCCCUCCCACCCUCUCUCCAAAUUUCCUCUUGGGGGUAGCCUAACAAGGUGCUGUCACAGACCCUUGUCGGCCACGAUGACCCCACCCAGACCAUCCCUCUGCUGUUUCACUCUUUGAUAGUCUCUGGAGCUCUCUGGGGAGGGGU